rnacentral:rRNA from 1 species
UACGUAGGGGGCAAGCGUUGUCCGGAUUUAUUGGGCGUAAAGAGCGUGUAGGCGGCUUUACAGGUCCGUUGUGAAAACUCGAGGCUCAACCUCGAGAUGCCGAUGGAAACCAUUUGGCUAGAGUCCGGAAGAGGAGAGUGGAAUUCCCGGUGUAGCGGUGAAAUGCGCAGAUAUCGGGAAGAACACCCGUAGCGAAGGCGGCACUCUGGGCCGGAACUGACGCUGAGGAGCGAAAGCGUGGGUAGCAAACAGG